GGUGAACGCUGGCGGCGUGCUUAAGACUUGCAAGUCGAACGGGCUCUUCGGAGCCAGUGGCGCACGGGUGAGUAACGCGUAACUGACCUACCCCAAAGUCGCGGAUAACGAUUCGAAAGAAUCGCUAAUACGUGAUGUGCUGUCAGAUCCUGUUCUGCCAGUAAAGAUUUAUUGCUUUGGGAUGGGGUUGCGUUCCAUCAGCUAGUUGGUGGGGUAAAGGCCCACUAAGGCGACGACGGAUCGCCGGCCUGAGAGGGUGGCCGGCCACAGGGGCACUGAGACACGGGUCCCACUCCUACGGGAGGCAGCAGUUAGGAAUCUUCCACAAUGGGCGAAAGCCUGAUGGAGCGACGCCGCGUGAGGGAUGAAGGUCCUCGGAUCGUAAACCUCUGAAUCAGGGACGAAAGACGCGAAAGCGGGAUGACGGUACCUGAGUAAUAGCACCGGCUAACUCCGUG
rnacentral:rRNA from 1 species